GCCCCUGUGGUGAAAUUGGUAGACACGACAGACUCAAAAUCUGUUGCUUUCGGGCGUGCUGGUUCGAGUCCGGCCAGGGGCACCA
rnacentral:tRNA from 2 species